AGUGAACGCUGGCGGUAGGCCUAACACAUGCAAGUCGAACGGCAGCACAGUAAGAGCUUGCUCUUACGGGUGGCGAGUGGCGGACGGGUGAGGAAUACAUCGGAAUCUACUUUUUCGUGGGGGAUAACGUAGGGAAACUUACGCUAAUACCGCAUACGACCUACGGGUGAAAGCAGGGGAUCUUCGGACCUUGCGCGAUUGAAUGAGCCGAUGUCGGAUUAGCUAGUUGGCGGGGUAAAGGCCCACCAAGGCGACGAUCCGUAGCUGGUCUGAGAGGAUGAUCAGCCACACUGGAACUGAGACACGGUCCAGACUCCUACGGGAGGCAGUAGUGGGGAAUAUUGGACAAUGGGCGCAAGCCUGAUCCAGCCAUACUGCGUGGGUGAAGAAGGCCUUCGGGUUGUAAAGCCCUUUUGUUGGGAAAGAAAAGCAGCAGGUUAAUACCCCGCUGUUCUGACGGUACCCAAAGAAUAAGCACCGGCUAACUUCGUG
rnacentral:rRNA from 1 species